rnacentral:rRNA from 1 species
AUGGCAACUUUGUGGCUCGUCGGAAGCACUCUGGCUGCUUCUCCUUCCUGCCCGCUCUGCGAACUCUCUUCUUUUUUGAGCUCAUUGAUAGAGAUGAACCAGUUACUGGAGCCUACAUUUUCCUUGGAAUCCCUCUUGGGCGGGGCACCCGACGUAAUGGUGAAUUGGACUAUGUUUGCAAGACAUGCUAUCGUCAGUUUCAUGUCCCACUUGCUGGUCUGA